rnacentral:rRNA from 1 species
UGGGGAAUAUUGCACAAUGGGCGAAAGCCUGAUGCAGCGACGCCGCGUGAGGGAUGACGGCCCUCGGGUUGUAAACCUCUUUCAGCAGGGAAGAAGCGAAAGUGACGGUACCUGCAGAAGAAGCGCCGGCUAACUACGUGCCAGCAGCCGCGGUAAUACGUAGGGCGCAAGCGUUGUCCGGAAUUAUUGGGCGUAAAGAGCUCGUAGGCGGUUAGUCGCGUCUGCUGUGAAAACUCGAGGCUCAACCUCGGGCUUGCAGUGGGUACGGGCUGACUAGAGUGCGGUAGGGGUGACUGGAAUUCCUGGUGUAGCGGUGGAAUGCGCAGAUAUCAGGAGGAACACCGAUGGCGAAGGCAGGUCACUGGGCCGCAACUGACGCUGAGGAGCGAAAGCAUGGGGAGCGAACAGGAUUAGAUACCCUGGUAGUCCAUGCCGUAAACGUUGGGCACUAGGUGUGGGUCCAUUCCACGGAUUCCGUGCCGCAGCAAAGCGCAUUAAGUGCCCCGCCUGGGGAGUACGGCCGCAAGGCUAAAACUCAAAGGAAUUGACGGGGUCAUAGCUGUUUCCU